UACGUAGGGGGCAAGCGUUAUCCGGAUUUACUGGGUGUAAAGGGAGCGUAGACGGUUACGCAAGUCUGGAGUGAAAGGCGGGGGCCCAACCCCCGGACUGCUUUGGAAACUGCCUGACUGGAGUGCUGGAGAGGCAAGCGGAAUUCCUAGUGUAGCGGUGAAAUGCGUAGAUAUUAGGAAGAACACCAGUGGCGAAGGCGGCUUGCUGGACAGUAACUGACGUUGAGGCUCGAAAGCGUGGGGAGCAAACAGG
rnacentral:rRNA from 1 species